CCUACGGGAGGCAGCAGUGGGGAAUAUUGGGCAAUGGGCGCAAGCCUGACCCAGCAACGCCGCGUGAAGGAAGCAGGCUUUCGGGUUGUAAACGUCUGUUGGCAGGGAAGAGAAUAAGACAGUCCCUGUCGAAUAAGCUACGGCGAACUACCUGACAGCAGCCGCGGUAAUACGGAGGUGGCAAGCGUGGUCCGGAUUUACGGGGUGGAAAGGGCGGGAAGCCGGGUUGACAAGUCAGAUGUGAAAUCCUGCGGCUUAACCGCAGAACUGCCUUUGAAACUGUGGAGGUGGAGUACUGGAGAGGGAGACGGAAUUCCUGGUGUAGCGGUGAAAUGCGUAGAUAUUAGGAGGAACACCAGUGGCGAAGGCGGUCUGCUGG
rnacentral:rRNA from 1 species